UACGUAGGGUGCAAGCGUUGUCCGGAAUUAUUGGGCGUAAAGAGCUUGUAGGCGGUUUGUCGCGUCUGCUGUGAAAUUUCGGGGCUCAACCCCGAACUUGCAGUGGGUACGGGCAGACUAGAGUGUGGUAGGGGAGACUGGAAUUCCUGGUGUAGCGGUGAAAUGCGCAGAUAUCAGGAGGAACACCGGUGGCGAAGGCGGGUCUCUGGGCCGAUACUGACGCUGGAGGAGCGAAAGCGUGGGGAGCGAACAGG
rnacentral:rRNA from 1 species